GACGAACGCUGGCGGCGUGCCUAAUACAUGCAAGUAGGACGCUGAAGGAGGAGCUUGCUUCUCUGGAUGAGUUGCGAACGGGUGAGUAACGCGUAGGUAACCUGCCUGGUAGCGGGGGAUAACUAUUGGAAACGAUGGCUAAUACCGCAUAAGAGUAGAUGUUGCAUGACAUUUGCUUAAAAGGUGCAAUUGCAUCACUACCAGAUGGACCUGCGUUGUAUUAGCUAGUUGGUGAGGUAACGGCUCACCAAGGCAACGAUACAUAGCCGACCUGAGAGGGUGAUCGGCCACACUGGGACUGAGACACGGCCCAGACUCCUACGGGAGGCAGCAGUAGGGAAUCUUCGGCAAUGGACGGAAGUCUGACCGAGCAACGCCGCGUGAGUGAAGAAGGUUUUCGGAUCGUAAAGCUCUGUUGUAAGAGAAGAACGAGUGUGAGAGUGGAAAGUUCACACUGUGACGGUAUCUUACCAGAAAGGGACGGCUAACUACGUG
rnacentral:rRNA from 1 species